UACGAAGGGGGCUAGCGUUGUUCGGAAUCACUGGGCGUAAAGCGCACGUAGGCGGAUUUUUAAGUCAGGGGUGAAAUCCCGAGGCUCAACCUCGGAACUGCCUUUGAUACUGGGAAUCUGGAGUCCGGGAGAGGUGAGCGGAACUGCGAGUGUAGAGGUGAAAUUCGUAGAUAUUCGCAAGAACACCGGUGGCGAAGGCGGGUCUCUGGGCCGAUACUGACGCUGAGGAGCGAAAGCGUGGGGAGCGAACAGG
rnacentral:rRNA from 1 species